GACGAACCGUGCGAACGUUAUUCGGAAUCACUGGGCUUAAAGCGCGUGUAGGCGGGAGGGAACGUCCGUCGCUGAAAUCCCCCGGCUCAACCGGGGAAGUGGCGCGGAUACGACCUUCCUGGAGGGGCGUAGGGGGACCUGGAACUUCCGGUGGAGCGGUGAAAUGCGUAGAUAUCGGGAGGAACACCAGUGGCGAAGGCGGUUGCCUGGAGCUUUGCUGACGCUGAUGCGCGAAAGCGUGGGGAGCGAUCCGG
rnacentral:rRNA from 1 species